UACGUAUGGUGCAAGCGUUGUCCGGAAUUACUGGGCGUAAAGAGUUCGUAGGUGGUUAAAUUAGUCAGAAGUGAAAGGCUACGGCUCAACCGUAGUAAGCUUUUGAAACUGUUUAACUUGAGUAUUGGAGAGGAAAGUGGAAUUCCUAGUGUAGCGGUGAAAUGCGUAGAUAUUAGGAAGAACACCAGUGGCGAAGGCGACUUUCUGGACAAUUACUGACACUGAGGAACGAAAGCGUGGGGAGCGAACAGG
rnacentral:rRNA from 1 species